rnacentral:misc_RNA from 1 species
UGGCUCUCGCACCGAUGAAGAACGCAGCGAAAUGCGAUAAGUAAUGUGAAUUGCAGAAUUCAGUGAAUCAUCGAAUCUUUGAACGCACCUUGCACCCUUUGGUAUUCCGAAGGGUACACCCGUUUGAGUGUCAUUGUAAUCUCACCCCUCGACUUUGCCGUCUUGGGUGUGGACUUGGGCUCUGUUGUGUGUCACGACUGGCCUCAAAUGCCUGAGUGCACCCUGCUGUUGUGGCGUCUUCAGUGUGAUAAGCAUCUUCACUGGAACAAGCUCCCUUGUGGACACGCUUGCUUUGUGGGCUCUGUGCUUGCGAACCGUCCGUUGCGCGGACAAGACUUGACAAUUUGACCUCAGAUCGGGUGGGACUACCCGCUGA